AACCUGAGAGUAUAUGGAUCAGGGGUUGUCAUAAUCUCUUUUUUGUUAGAAUCGAACAACACACAUCAGGUAAUUUAUAAGGAAAUGAAAUGUAUGUCUUACAGUUGUCUGAUAGCUGGAAAGUCCAAGCUGACAAGGCCACAUUUGGUGAGAUCCUUCCAGUCAACAGAGACCCUCUGCUGAGCUCCAGAGUGACACAAGCCAUCAUGGGGCAAUCCCUUCUGGAAACUCCCAUCCCUGAACUCCCUGUGGGCAUUUGACAACACUCAAGGUCUCAUGCCACCAGGAUAGAAUUAUCUGAUAACAAUCACAGAGAGAGAGAUCUUCCCUUCUCCCGAUAUAAAGACAGAGAGAGAAAUAGAGCUCCCCAAAUCACCGCAACAACCAGCAGCCAAGAACUCGAUCCAGGUCAUCCAACUGGAUGGAAGGGACCCAACUACCUGUGGCAUCAUCACCUCUGCCUCUCAGACUCUGCAUCAGCAGGAAGCUGGAGUCAGGAACCAGAGCAGAGUAUUGAGACCCAGGUACUCC